rnacentral:rRNA from 1 species
GAUGAACGCUAGCGGGAGGCUUAACACAUGCAAGUCGAGGGGCAGCAUAGGGUAGCAAUACUCUGAUGGGCGACCGGCAAACGGGUGAGUAACGCGUAUGCAACCUACCCUGUACAGGGGGAUAACCCGGAGAAAUUCGGACUAAUAUCCCGUAAUAAUAUCCGGAGGCAUCUUUGGAUAUUUAAAGUUCCGACGGUACGGGAUGGGCAUGCGUAACAUUAGCUGGUUGGUAAGGUAACGGCUUACCAAGGCUAUGAUGUUUAGGGGUCCUGAGAGGGUGGUCCCCCACACUGGUACUGAGACACGGACCAGACUCCUACGGGAGGCAGCAGUGAGGAAUAUUGGUCAAUGGGCGCAAGCCUGAACCAGCCAUCCCGCGUGCAGGAAGACGGCCCUAUGGGUUGUAAACUGCUUUUCCAGGGAGAGAAACUUACGCACGUGUUGCGUGACUGACGGUACCCUGGGAAUAAGCAUCGGCUAACUCCGUG